CUGAGUUAGGGCCUGUGAAGGCCCGACCUCCCACCCUGUGUCUACCUUACCACGUUGCUUCGGCGAGCCUGCCGGCAAGAUUUGUCGGCUGCCGGUGGGCCUAACCCCCCCGCUGGAAAGUGCUCGUCGACGGCCAACAACAAAACUCUUGAAGAAUCAUGUCGUCAGAGUACUAAAUUAAAUAAAGUAA
rnacentral:misc_RNA from 1 species